rnacentral:tRNA from 1 species
GUCUGUGGCACAAUGGUUCAGUGCAUCUGACUGUUAACCAGAAGGUUGGUGAUUCGAGCCCAUCCAGGGACA